rnacentral:rRNA from 1 species
UUUCGGGUAAUGACAGUUAGGCAGAAUAGAAUCAUUAGAUCUUUAGUAUAGGAGUAAAAUCUAAAUACUAAAAGUUAUAUUAGGCGUGGUUUAUUUUAGAUGCUGAGUCUGUGACGACUUCAAGGGAAACUGGGAUUGGAUACCCCAUUAUUUUUAGUAGUAAAUUUAAUUUAAGUUUACCAGAGUACUACGAAUAAAAAAUUUAAAACUCAAAGAGCUUGGCGGUGUUUUAGACCUCUCAGGGGAACCUGUCUCGUAAUCGACAAUCCACGUUAUACCCGACCCUCUAUAGCAGUUCAGCCUGUAUACCGUUGUCGUCAGGUAACUUCUUAAAACAUAGUAGUUAGCUAGAAAAUAUUAUUAAUUAACACGUCAAAUCAAGGUGCAGCUAAUAAGAGGGAGAGGAUGGGUUACAAUUAUAUAUUUAUAAUCACGAAAAACGUCUUAAAUAAGGUGUUGGAAGGAGGACUUGAAAGUAAUUUUAAUUAUAUAAAGAGAAUGAAUAAGGCUCUGAAACGUG